AAAAGCGGAGGAAAAGAAACCAACCGGGAUUGCCUUAGUAACGGCGAGUGAAGCGGCAAAAGCUCAAAUUUGAAAUCUGGUACCUUCGGUGCCCGAGUUGUAAUUUGGAGAGGGCAACUUUGGGGCCGUUCCUUGUCUAUGUUCCUUGGAACAGGACGUCAUAGAGGGUGAGAAUCCCGUGUGGCGAGGAGUGCGGUUCUUUGUAAAGUGCCUUCGAAGAGUCGAGUUGUUUGGGAAUGCAGCUCUAAGUGGGUGGUAAAUUCCAUCUAAAGCUAAAUAUUGGCGAGAGACCGAUAGCGAACAAGUACAGUGAUGGAAAGAUGAAAAGAACUUUGAAAAGAGAGUGAAAAAGUACGUGAAAUUGUUGAAAGGGAAGGGCAUUUGAUCAGACAUGGUGUUUUGUGCCCUCUGCUCCUUGUGGGUAGGGGAAUCUCGCAUUUCACUGGGCCAGCAUCAGUUUUGGUGGCAGGAUAAAUCCAUAGGAAUGUAGCUUGCCUCGGUAAGUAUUAUAGCCUGUGGGAAUACUGCCAGCUGGGACUGAGGACUGCGACGUAAGUCAAGGAUGCUGGCAUAAUGGUUAUAUGCCGCCCGUCUUGACC
rnacentral:rRNA from 1 species